UACAAGGAUUUUCCUUUCUUUCUUGCUAUAGCCCUUUAGAUGAAGAGUUCAGAGGAACUCCAAGAGACAGCCAACAAAAAAUAUUCCUCACACUAAUUGACUUGGAUCGAUACACAAAUGCACAACAAAAUGUGCUAUUUAUUGUGGAGAAUUUUAUGCUCUUGGAACAAUUUAAAGGUGGUUUGUAAUGUUGACAUGUAUAUAUGGAG
rnacentral:lncRNA from 1 species